rnacentral:lncRNA from 1 species
AUUUUCAAUUUUAAUUAAAAACAAAAACUUACUCCAAUUAAUUCCAAACCCUAAUUAACAUCAUAAUACAAACACAAUCACAAUAAAAAAUACAAAUAUUAGAAUUUUUGUCUCCUCUACAACUUUCUCCCAAUCAAAACUGUUCUAAACAAAGAAAAAAACCACCAUUGUCGACAACACAGGGAAGAGAGAAGACAGGGAACCCGCAAACAUUGAAUUGGAGAAGAAACAACGAUUCAAAAGUGAAAUCAAUAUCAAUUCAAGAAGCACCUUCAAAUUGCUAGCGAAUACAUGCAUGGCAUGUAAGAAUUGUUCGGUUUUUAAAAAAUAAGGGUACGGUUUAUGAGUUGGAAAAUUCAUGAACCUAUUAUUUUGUUAUUUUGCUACUUUGGCAUCUGAAAGAGGGGAAAAGAUUGAGUUUGAUUUUUUGUGUUUGUUAGUUCCUAAGUUUGAUUCAUGAUUUUUCUGGGUUUUUGGUUUAUGA